UACGAAGGGGGCUAGCGCUGCUCGGAAUGACUGGGCGUAAAGGGCGCGUAGGCGGCUUGCACAGUCAGGCGUGAAAUUCCUGGGCUCAACCUGGGGGACUGCGCUUGAGACGUGUGGGCUUGAGUGGGGAAGAGGGUCGUGGAAUUCCCAGUGUAGAGGUGAAAUUCGUAGAUAUUGGGAAGAACACCGGUGGCGAAGGCGGCGACCUGGUCCUUGACUGACGCUGAGGCACGAAAGCGUGGGGAGCAAACAGG
rnacentral:rRNA from 1 species